AAAUAUUUGAAAACCAACCACAUGUGGUUGAUUUUCUAGAAAAUAUUUUCCAGAAAACCAACCACAUGUGGUCGGUUUUCAAAUAAUUUUUUUAAAAAAAUAAGUUAUUAACCCAAUCCGACCCGACCCGACUCGACUCGACAAAAAUAAUAAAAGAUCAAAACACACACACACCUAACCUAAUUAAACCUCGAUCUCAGCUACACCCACACCCAACAACACGCAGCAACACACACACAUGGUGAUCUACACCGGUUAGCCGGCGACUGCUCCCGCUCUACUACGGCGACGACAGCUCAGAUUCUGAAUCCGGGAUAAGGAUUGCUUUGCUAUUUUUUCUGGUGACCGCUUAACGAUCUCUUUCACUUUAAUUUAAGCCAAGCAAAGAUGGAACCUGAUUAUAGCUGGAUAUAUCAACGGAACAAUGAUAAUAGAAUGGGUAUUAGG